ensembl:lncRNA
AUGUCAACUCAAAGGAAAAUGGAAAUAACUGCAGACCUUUGGCUAUGGCACAUGAUAAUAACUGUCUCAACCUUGAAGUACCGACGUCCUCUUUCUGUGGAAGAGAUUCGUACAAACAAGGAGCGGAGAGAGGAACCUUGGCACAGGUUUCCUGACCAACACAAAAACACCAAGGACAACCAGCCAGAACAUCAAGCGCCUGACCACCCCGUGGCUCGGAGGCCCAGUAGACCAGGCAGCAGAUUCACACCUCAAAAAGCUAUGAACCAAUGAAAGAAAAAGAGCAUCAGCAUAGCUGAGUCAACACAGAUGCUCCAAAGUGACAUUUGGAUGGCUGUAAACAUUUUUUCUUGCUGAAGUAGACAAUGCCUCAAAGAGUUUUGAUAGAGGGAUGCUGUUCACUCAUGGACGAUGUGCCUGACAGGUGGUGGCUUACAGAUGUGCUGAGCUAGAGGAGAAUCUACUUGAAUCAAACGUCAUAUUCAUAUAUGCUUUGAGACACUAAACAUGUUCUUGAUGUCUUUUCGGAAAGAAUGUGCUCUAAAGUCAAGGGUCUGUGUAUGUGUGUAUGUGUGAGUAUGCUUGAUUGUUCUCGCAGGUUAAGAGCAAGAAUAUGUCAUAUGUUGCAUAUCAUCUGCUAUACCAAAACAAAUUACUGCAUGCUCCACAUAAGGCAUGCAGAUGGAAAUAACAUCAAAAAAAUAAAUAGACAUUUUCACUCUUGGUUAACCAAUGUCUCAAAACAGCUUUAGAUCUAAUCAUAUAGUAACAUGGGAACAAUAACAGCAUAAAUUAAAAAUAAUGUCUUUUGCUUAACAGGUGUGGUUAGCAUUGUUAAAUCUAUAUUUUUUUAAGGUGUCAUAUGUUUUAUAUGGAAAUAAAUAAGUUUAACUGCUGACAGGUUAUUUUAAAAAAUUAUUUUUACUAAAUAAUUUUAUUCUUUCUCAUGGAUUAUUUUGCCUUGUUGGAGCAGCACCCGUAAGAGCAGAUAAACUGUGGAAUUGUGGUUGUUACAGCGAACACCUCAGACCCUCACUCCUCAGUGAAGGGUUGACACAGGCCAAAAGCUGCAGCCUCCCGACUUUGUCUUUCUUUCUUUUUCCUUUUAUAAUUGCGAUUGCUUGCAUAAGUUCGAAAUAACCUUUGUAUCAGAAAAUGCUGUUAUCACCCAUCGUAUAAAACAUCUACCUCAAUGCUGUGAUUGUUUCUCACCAGAAGCUUGGCCCUGUAAGAAUGGUGACUGUGGUCCAUGUUUAGUCCAGGGUGAUGUGUACCCUGCCGUCGAGUCGGGUGAAGCUAUGAGUUGUGGUCCUUGAAAUAGCUUGACCUGAUUGUCAUUGUUCUUCUACAUCCUUGAGGUCUUUUGUGUGUGUGUGUGUGUGUGUGUGUGUGUGUGUGUGUGUGUGUGUGUGUGUGUGUGUGUGUGUGUGUUGCGCGCAUGCACGCGUGUGUUUGCAUGUCAGUCUGCUCAGGCCCACUUUAGUGCCUUCAUGGCACGUCAUUUUGUCAAGUUAUGCAGUCUUCAAUACAAACAGCUACAAAUAAUGGUACCUGACCUUAAUCAACAGGUAAUCCAUUGUUUAACAGUUUAGUGGCACCAGCCACUAUGUUUAGGAAAACCCACAUCUGUAUUCACUUAUAAGCCUAUUGUUCAGAAAUCACAAAGACAGCAAACAGUUCUUUCCUUUCCUAUGCACAUCAGUGUCCAUAAGUUACCUUCAGUAUCUGUUAAUAGAUUGCACCACCUUAUUACAUUAAUAAACAAGACUGAGUAUGAGAGCACCAUCACAGAAAGACAUGCAUUUCUCUUACUUACACUUCAAGGUCUGCCUGGUGGAAGCAGGACACAAUCGUUAUGUUCUUCUUAUGUUACUUUUCCCAUUUUCUUUUCAUUUUUCCACUAUUUUUGAUAAAUAAAUAUUUAUACAUCAGUGUUCUGAUAUUUUCCCAC